UCACGCCCACUGUGUUUAAAAUCAAGUGGCCACUGAUAAAUUGGUAUUCAGGCUGUACUCACUCAACUGAGGAGCAUCAUGGAUGACGAUGAUGCCUUAUUUCUUGCUGAUUUGCUGUUGGAGGAAUGCAAGAAUACUCAACCUAAAGAAUCCUCAGAAGUGUCUGGACCGGACAAAUUUACUUUUUUUUGGGUUGAGGAGGACGAGGAAGGGAGUCCUAUCCCAAAGAGGAGGAGAACAGGGAAGAAGCGGGCAAAGAGUUCAUCCUCAGUGACUUCUGGGAGCAUGCACUCAUUGCCAUGUGCUCCAUCUACAAGUGGACAUCAGCACGUGACUGAGACCGUUCAAGAUAUAUAUUUUAGCAGCAGUUUAUUUACCCUCUUCUUUCCAUGUUUGUCUUAUUGCUGCUACAUUUGGUUACCUUACCCUGUUUUCUAGGAUCCCUCAUUCAAGAGGUGCAGGACCUUUUGGGACCUGCCAUAGACCCAGCACCUUCACACUGGAAAGACAGGAAAGCUUCAACUCUGGAAAAGUGGACUGUGUUAAGGCCGUAUAUGGUUAAUCAGAUGUUACAGUCUGAGAAGCCUAUAGAGGGAACUUGUCACCACUGCAGAUCUAAGACUGCUGUUGUGAAAUGUCAGGAUUGUUUGCCUAGACCACUUCACUGUGCAGCCUGUGAUGUUUCCAUCCACAAUUCCAUGGUUUUCCAUAAUAGAUCAUCCAUGAUAGAGGGAUUCUACAGGCCACUGCCACCAACCACUCACAUCAGGGAAGAGAAGGGAGGAAAAUUCUCCUUCCAUG